UCGAGAAUCUUCCGCAAUGGACGAAAGUCUGACGGAGCGAUGUCGCGUGAUUGAUGAAGCGCUUCGGCGCGUAAAAAUCUUUUAUCGGGGAGAAAAUCCGCCGCAAGGCGGAUGUGAUAGUACUCGAUGAAUAAGGGGUUGCUAAACUCGUGCCAGCAGCAGCGGUAAUACGAGUGCCCCAAGCGUUAUCCGGAAUUACUGGGCGUAAAGGGUGUGUAGGCGGCUUGAUUAGUCGGUGGUUAAAGCUCCGGGCUUAACCCGGGAAGUGCCAUCGAAACGGUCAAGCUAGAGGAGGUGAGGGGUCCGUGGAACUCAUGGUGUAGGGGUGAAAUCCGUUGAUAUCAUGGGGAACACCAAAAGCGAAGGCAGCGGACUGGCGCCUUACUGACGCUGAAACACGAAAGCGUGGGGAUCAAACGGGAUUAGAUACCCCCGUAGUCC
rnacentral:rRNA from 1 species